rnacentral:tRNA from 1 species
UCUAAUAUGGCAGAUUAAUGCAAUGAAUUUAAGACUCAUAAAUGAAUUAAUUAAUUCUUUUAGAA